rnacentral:rRNA from 1 species
CACGGGGGGAGCAAGCGUUGUUCGGAAUCACUGGGCGUAAAGGGUGCGUAGGCGGCGCGGUAAGUCGGGUGUGAAAUUUCGAGGCUUAACUUCGAAACUGCAUUCGAUACUGCCGUGCUUGAGGACUGGAGAGGAGACUGGAAUUUACGGUGUAGCGGUGAAAUGCGUAGAUAUCGUAAGGAAGACCAGUGGCGAAGGCGGGUCUCUGGACAGUUCCUGACGCUGAGGCACGAAGGCCAGGGGAGCAAACGGG